rnacentral:rRNA from 1 species
ACGAGAAAGUGGAGCAACCAUGAGUAUAGUGGCGAACGGGUGAGUAACACGUGACUAACCUGCCUUCGAGUGGGGGAUAACCUCGGGAAACCGGGGCUAAUACCGCAUAAGAUCCUGAGGGUGCAAUUCCCAUGGGACCAAAGGGGUAAGACGCUUGAAGAGGGGGUCGCGGCUGAUUAGCUAGUUGGUGAGGUAAUGGCUCACCAAGGCGAAGAUCGGUAGCCGGCCUGAGAGGGCGCACGGCCACACUGGAACUGAAACACGGUCCAGACUCCUACGGGAGGCAGCAGUGGGGAAUUUUGCGCAAUGGGGGAAACCCUGACGCAGCAACGCCGCGUGGAGGAUGAAGCCCUUUGGGGCGUAAACUCCUUUCGAUCGGGACGAUUAUGACGGUACCGGAUGAAGAAGCACCGGCUAACUCUGUGCCAGCAAGCCGCGGUAAUACAGAGGGUGCAAGC